GCGGCGCGCAGUCCGGCAGCGUCGUGCAGGACCCGAAGAAGAAGCCGACCAGGGUCGAGGACAUCCUCGACGGCGCGC
rnacentral:tRNA from 1 species